UGCUCUUCCCAUCUAUUUGAUGAUGCUGUUGUCCAAUCUGACCUGAAGCAUUGGCCUUUCAUGGUGGUGAAUGAUGCUGGCAGGCCCAAGGUCCAAGUAAAAUACAAGGGAGAGA